UGAGGGGCGAUUGUGUGGUGCGUCGAUGCUGGGCGUGGAGGCGGGGGCAAACACAAGCAGCCAUCGCCUGUCGCCACGCGCUUGUUGGUACCUGUCGUCGCUUGCCUUCUUCCGCCGUCGCCGCCUGUCGGUUCGUGCUGCCGCUCACCUUCUGCCAACGUCGCCUGCUUGUUCUUGUCGGAUGUGUGUGUGAGAGAAAGACAAGAGAUGGGGAUAAGCGGGUCGUUGAGGAAGACACACGGUUCCUUUGAUUUUAAGGUAUAGACGCAUUCGGAUUUAAACAGAAUAUUUGAUCAAUGGAAAACGAUGUAGUUCUGGUUUUGAAGUAUGCAGGAACAAGACCCAGAAACUGGUCCGACCCAUGUCA
rnacentral:lncRNA from 1 species